GUGCCAGCAGCCGCGGUAAGACGAACCGUCCAAACGUUAUUCGGAAUCACUGGGCUUAAAGGGUGCGUAGGCGGCACGGCAAGUUGGGUGUGAAAGCCCUCGGCUCAACCGAGGAAUUGCGCCCAAAACUGCCGCGCUCGAGGGAGACAGAGGUGAGCGGAACUUAGGGUGGAGCGGUGAAAUGCGUUGAUAUCCUAAGGAACACCGGUGGCGAAAGCGGCUCACUGGGUCUCUUCUGACGCUGAGGCACGAAAGCUAGGGGAGCGAACGGGAUUAGAUACCCCGGUAGUCCUAGCUGUAAACGAUGAGCACUGGGUCGGAGAGUCUUCCAUAACUUUCCGGCCGAAGCGAAAGUGUUAAGUGCUCCGCCUGGGGAGUAUGGUCGCAAGGCUGAAACUUAAAUGAAUUGACGGGG
rnacentral:rRNA from 1 species